GACGAACGCUGGCGGCGUGCUUAACACAUGCAAGUCGAACGGAAAGGCCCUGCUUUUGUGGGUUGCUCGAUUGGCGAACGGGUGAGUAACACGUGAGUAACCUGCCCUUGACUUUGGGAUAACUUCUGGAAACUGGGGCUAAUACCGGAUAGGAUCUCCUGCUGCAUGGUGGGGGUUGGAAAGUUUCGGCGGUUGGGGCUGGACUCGCGGCUUAUCAGCUUGUUGGUGGGGUAGGUGCUUACCAAGGCUUUGACGGGUAGCCGGCCUGGGAGGGUGACCGGGCACCUUGCGCCUGCGAUACGGCCCAGAAUGCUACCGGCGGCAGUAGUGGGGAACCUUGCACAAUGGGCCGAAGCCUGAUGCAGCAACGCCGCGUGCGGGAUGCCGGCCUUCUGGUUGUAAACCGCUUUCGACUGUGCCGAAGAGUGAGUGACGGUAAUGGGUAAAGAAGCAACGGCUAACUACGUG
rnacentral:rRNA from 1 species